GUCUAUACCCCUGGUAAACAAAUCUGCAGCAAACAGUGGCACCAUUAGGAUAUCAUAUGUCUUGCAUCUUCUACUACCAUUUUGCAGAAAAAUAAAAUUAUUACACUUCACCAGACUUCUAAGAUUACAUUGUAUCUCUCAAAGAUCAUCCAUCAUGAAAACAGAACCAUUCAAGUGACAAUACAAAUGUGGAAGCAUCCUCAAAAUUGUCAUGAAACAAGAAAAAGAACAACUGAUUUUAACCAUUUUGUACCUCCAGACUUCACCCCCUCUUUCACUCACUUAUUUUCCUCCUCACCUUGCAACACAGCUAUAAUAACCCACAGCUCCUCAAUUUGCCUAUUAUUUCUAUCCCUCUCUUUCUGAUAAAAACUCAAGGUUAGGUUUCAUAAGAUAGGUUGCACAAUAUUAGAGAGAAUUGUGAUUGUUACCUAUAAAUAAGUUGUAACGGAUGGGGUGCCGGACAUAGACUCAUGCAAGUAAAUCAGAAGAAGAAUAAAAAGGUUAUACCAUGAAUGCCCAAA
rnacentral:misc_RNA from 1 species